UUAAAGGAUUUAUACCAGGAUGCUUUUCUGAUUCAGGAUUCACUCCCUUUGGCAGAUCCCUAUGUUCCUGUUUAGGGAAUAUAAAUAUAAAUAUAAAUAUAUAAAUGAGGCUAUGAUCAAGAACUGCUCCUUAAUUCUUAAAUUAUUGCAAAAUCUUCUGCUAAAAAAAUAGCAGCCCAACAAUGAUCCUUAGAUUCUGUAGACAAAGUUGUCCUUGAUAAUAGAAUAGCUCUUGAUUAUUUUUUAGCUGAGCAAAGUGGUGUCUAUGCUCUGGUGACUACCUGCUGUGCCCAGAGCAACACUUCUGGGGAAGCUGAAACUCAGUUACCAAAGAUCAAAAACCAGGUUUGCUUGGCUUAAACAGAUGAUUCCUUCCAGAGUCUCUGACUUGUUUGAUUUUGACUGGUGCUAAUGGAUUUUCCUCCCCUCUCUAUCCCCAGGAUCGAUAACCCUUCUCCUUAGCUCAGGAUGUCAUGUAAGCCUCAUGUUGCCUGUCUUUGGGAUUUCAUAUCUGUGGAUUCCCCAUCUUUAUAUGAAACCAAAUUUGAUUUUCUCCUGUUAAUGUUUCAUGUCAAUUUGAUUCUUGGUCCAGCUAGGAGAACCUUGAAGGGCAGAGGACAGUCUUUCUUCCUGACAGUUGGCAUAACCGGCAGGAUACUUUAAACUCACUGGAUACCAUUCUCCUCUGGCACUGCUCCAGCAGAGAGAUACUUGGGAAACCUGACAUACAGCAGAAGGCUUACAGAUCCAGAAAUGACCAGACAGCUUUAAGAACUUUAUGGAGCCUAUAAUAAGCCCCCUUGGAAAUAUCAGCCUGAUAACUCUUGCUUACAGAGUUCCCAGCAGCUUUACCAGCUGAAGAUGCGUCCAGCCUGACAUCUAGAAGUCGUGACUGGCUACCCUCAGAACUCAGAAAAUUUGAUCCAAACAUCGACCAUUGUUUUCUUUUGUUCUGAGAGAAACAGAACACUUGAUUAGUUAUUUAAUUAAGUCACAGGUGUAACUUCGAGAAUAUACGUGCAUCAUGGCCUCCUGAAGUGAGAUUGUAACGGAGCUGAUCUAUUGCCAGCACUGACUGGUUCAACAAGAUGGAACAGUCUACCAGGGCUCAACUUUAAAGGUUGAAAACUUCCCUGAAGUUUCAGAGGGAACUUCAGGUGCCAAGGGCAGGCUGCCCUAGAUGGGCCACUUCGUCCAUCAACAUUACUUUGAGUUAAAAGCAAUCACAGGAAAACCUCCCCAUCAACUGCCUAAGUUUACAUUUAUAGAAAGGACAGCCUGUACCAGGACAGAGCUACUGAGAUUCCUCUUUACCUAAGAUGCUUAAUUGUGUAAUAGCAACCUUUAUUUUCCAAACAUCUCCUCUCACCUUCUGGUCAAUGGCUGUCCUUCCCUUUAUAUCCCCAGACCCCCUACCCCAAUCCUUAGCUCAGGACGUCAUUCAUAUAAACCUCACUGCCUGAAUGUCCUUGGAAUUUCAUGUCUGUUUUCUCCUGUUAAUCUAUCUCAUGUCAAUUUCUUAGCCAGCUAGAAGAGCAAAGGACAUUCUUCCUUCCUGAUAAUACCAGAGAAAAGAACAACAAAAUAGUGGUAACUGAGAGCAGCACUAAUGCCAUAAAUUUUGAUCACAUUUUUCAGUUAAGCUGAGAUUGAUCAAAUGGGGGUACUGUUGAACCAAAGGCCCCAAAUGGCGUCAUUCAGGCUUAGUCUGCAAACCAGGGCUUAAUACCACCAUUAUCUGCAGUUUCAAACUUUCCCAGAAAUGUAGUCUUAACUGAUCAGUUGGGAAUCUUCCGAUUAGUGAUAAUGGGUCUGCCACAUAGGCCCUCUCCCUUCUCCCAGAGGGUAAUCUGUGUAAGACCCCUUGUUUUUCAUCCUCAUGGGAAAGUGACCUUGCCUGGAACAAUCCUUUUCUUUGGCCACUAACUUUCUUGCCCCACUUUCCUUCCUAUAAAAACCUUCCAUUUUGUACAAUGCACUGAGCCUCCAUUCCCUCUACUUGCUAGGUAAGAGGCUGCCUAAAUCAUUUUUAAAAAACCAAUUAGAGGGGCGCCUGGGUGGCACAGCGGUUAAGCGUCUGCCUUCG